CUGGGAUUAGAUACCCCACUAUGCUUAGCCCUUAACAUAGACAAUAAAAACACAAUAUUGUCCGCCAGAGAACUACAAGUGAAAAACUAGAAACUCCAAGGACUUGGCGGUGCCCCACAUCAACCUAGAGGAGCCUGUCCUAUAAUCGAUAAUCCACGCUGCACCUUACCAUUUCUAGNCAAUUCAGCCUAUAUACCGCCGUCGAAAGCCUACCUUAUGAAAGAACUAAAGUAAGCAAAAUAGUCAACAACUAAAACGUCAGGUCAAGGUGUAGCACAUGAAAUGGAAGAGAUGGGCUACAUUUUCUACCCUAGAAAACACGAACAGCACAAUGAAAUCUGUACUCAAAGGCGGAUUUAGCAGUAAGACAAAAAAGAAACUUUGCCUUAAACAUGCUCUGGGGCGCGCACACACCGCCCG
rnacentral:rRNA from 1 species